rnacentral:rRNA from 1 species
CCUACGGGUGGCAGCAGUGAGGAAUAUUGGUCAAUGGGCGAAAGCCUGAACCAGCCAAGUCGCGUGAAGGUUGAAGGAUUUAUGGUUUGUAAACUUCUUUUAUAUGGGGAUAAAGUGAGGAACGUGUUCCUUUUUGUAUGUACGAUAUGAUUAAGCAUCGUCUAACUCCGUGCCACCAGCCGCGGUAUUACGGGGGAUGCGACCGUUAUCCGGAUUGAUUGGUUUUAAAGGGUGCUGAGGUGGUAAAUUAAGUCACCGGGGAAAGUUUGUGGCUCAACGAUAAAAGUGCCGUUGAAACUGGUUGACUUGAGUAUAUAUGAGGUAGGAGGAAUGCGUGGUGUAGCGGUGAAAUGCAUAGAUAUCACGCAGAACACCGAUUGCGAAGGCAGCUUACGAAUCCAUAACUGACACUGAAGCACGAAAGCGUGGGGAUCAAACAGGAUUAGAUACCCCGGUAGUC